UUUAAUGUAAUCAUUUCGACAAAAUUCAUAAACAACUUGCAAAUUAUUUUGCAGUUAAAAAUGCAAUAAAUGUUCAAUUGUAUAUUAAUAAUUGAUAAAAAUUGAUCAGAACAUUAAGUUUGAUAAUUACAUUAUGUCAUGACAAUCUAAUAUAUUAAGACUAACGUUACAAAACUGCAUCUACAUUACUCUCAUUUGCGUGUUGCUAAUUGUUCAAAGAGAGAAGAAAAAUGGUACAAUGACAUAUUUUAACCAAAGAUUUAAUUUUUAGGUAUACAAUUUUGCUGAUCAAGAACCCAAAUUUAAUAAUUCGAAGGGCCUCAACAUAUUUAAAUUGCAAAGAAUCACUUAAAUAGUUUGGACAUUGGUAUCUUUUCUGAAAGGAAAGUGCAUUUAGUUGGAAACGUUAAACAGGUUAUACAAUUUUGAUGAGCAAGAAUCCAAAUUCAAUAUCUCAGCGGGCCUCAACAUAUUUAAAUUGAAAAGAAAACCUUAAAAAGUUUGGACAUUUGUAUCUUUUCUGAAGGGAAAGUACAUCUCGUUGGAUGCGUUAAACAGGUUAUACAAUUUUGAUGAGCAAGAAUCCAAAUUCAAUAUCUCAGCGAGCCUCAACAUAUUUAAAUUGCAAGGAAAAACUUAAAAAGUUACGACAUUGGUAUCUUUUCUGAAGGGAAAGUACAUCUAGUUGGAUGCGUUAAACAGGUAUACAAUUUUGCUGAUCAAGAACCCAAAUUUAAUAAUUCGAAGGGCCUCAACAUAUUUAAAUUGCAAAGAAUCACUUAAAUAGUUUGGACAUUGGUAUCUUUUCUGAAAGGAAAGUGCAUUUAGUUGGAAACGUUAAACAGGUAAACCUUGAAUGUUCCCAGUUGUUUUCACAUACUUUGGGAAGAACAAAAAUUAAAUUAAUGAAAAAUUUUUAUAUUUUUGAUUUUGUUUUAUAAAUAAAAUACCUAGGGAUAGAUAAAUGAAUGUUCUUAUUAGCCUUUUUUAUACGCCGUACAAUUAUUAAAACAGUUUCACACUUUUUGAGCUAGUUAUGAGGUUAAAACCUUUAAAUAUUUUAGAUUAGUUUUGUUUUAAAAUUAUUGUCAAGAAAAUGUAUCGAAGAAUUUGAAAAUGUAAUACAGGGGAUCCUGUUAUAGUUUCUAUAAUAUCUGCUCACAGGCAUAAGAGAUAUAUAUACAACAUUUUUCAUGAGUAUUUAAUGUAAUCAUUUCGACAAAAUUCAUCAACAACUUGCAAAUUAUUUUGCAGUUAAAAAUGCAAUAAAUGUUCAAUUGUAUAUUAAAAAUUGA